rnacentral:siRNA from 1 species
UGUAGCUAAAGACCAACGGGUAUU